rnacentral:rRNA from 1 species
UACGUAGGGGGCUAGCGUUGUCCGGAAUCAUUGGGCGUAAAGCGCGUGUAGGCGGUCCGGUAAGUCCGCUGUGAAAGUCGGGGGCUCAACCCUCGAAUGCCGGUGGAUACUGUCGGGCUAGAGUGCGGAAGAGGCGAGUGGAAUUCCUGGUGUAGCGGUGAAAUGCGCAGAUAUCUGGAGGAACACCGGUGGCGAAGGCGGCAUCCUGGACCGGCAUUGACGCUGAGGCGCGAAAGCCAGGGGAGCAAACGGG